AUUUGCCUACGGGGCGCAGCAGUGGGGAAUAUUGCACAAUGGGGGAAACCCUGAUGCAGCAACGCCGCGUGAGUGAUGACGGCCUUCGGGUUGUAAAGCUCUGUCUUCAGGGACGAUAAUGACGGUACCUGAGGAGGAAGCCACGGCUAACUACGUGCCAGCAGCCGCGGCAAUACGUAGGUGGCGAGCGUUGUCCGGAUUUACUGGGCGUAAAGGGAGCGUAGGCGGACUUUUAAGUGAGAUGUGAAAUAUUCGGGUUCAACUUGAGCGCUGCAUUUCAAACUGGAAGUCUAGCGUGCAGGAGU
rnacentral:rRNA from 1 species